CACUCCUGUAUUCUUGGAUGGACAGAGAAGCCUGGAGAAAUCACGGACGGAAAACCACUCUCUUGGAACUGAACUGUGCAAUCUGGUUGCUUGCAAUCCGCCCCAUCCUUACAUGAUUCUGAAAUCAGACAGAUUUGGGCAGAAUUGUCCACAACUUGAGCCUUCUCCAUCUGGCUCUUUGCAUUCAGUAUUCUCCCCUCUACUUUCCAGCAACUGUGGAUGCCCCAAACUGUGUCUCCUAGUUCAUCAAGCUAGAAUGACUCUAAGUUUUCUAUCAGUGUUUUUCCUGCCUCAUGUGGAGUCACUGGCAGCCUG